rnacentral:rRNA from 1 species
CCUACGGGUGGCAGCAGUGAGGAAUAUUGGUCAAUGGUCGGGAGACUGAACCAGCCAAGCCGCGUGAGGGAGGAAGGUACAGAGUAUCGUAAACCUCUUUUGUCAGGGUACAAAGGCGGGGACGUGUCCCCGGAUGAGUGUACCUGAAGAAAAAGCAUCGGCUAACUACGUGCCAGCAGCCGCGGUCAUACGGAGGAUGCGAGCGUUAUCCGGAUUUAUUGGGUUUAAAGGGUGCGCAGGCGGUCUGUUAAGUCAGCGGUAAAAGCCCGGGGCACAACCCCGGCCCGCCGUUGAAACUGGCAGUCUCGAGUUGGAGAGAAGUAUGCGGAAUGAGCGGUGUAGCGGUGAAAUGCAUAGAUAUCGCGCAGAACUCCGAUUGCGAAGGCAGCAUGCCGGCUCCACACUGACGCUGAGGCACGAAAGCGUGGGUAUCGAACAGGAUUAGAUACCCUGGUAGUC